UCCUCUGACGGGGAGGAGCGAGCCGGGCGCUGCGGGGCUGGGCUUCCCCCGGGAGCGGCCUCAGAUGAGCCGGGCGGGUGUGGGUGAGAUGUGCUUGGCCCUGGGAAUGGCAGCAGCCUGGCUCGGGGCUCCCAGGACUCUCUUAAGAGCCAUCACGAGGGGCAGAGGUCAGGUUUUACACGUGGGAGAGCUGUGAGUCUCCCUUAAUCACAGGACUCCAGGAGCUGGGGCUUUAAGAGCCAUGCCAAAGACUGGGACACUCCAGACCCGAUUCUGAGCUGGCAGCGCUGGGAGAUAAAAUCCCACUUGUAUGUGUCCUUCCCCCCACCACAAAGAGAUGCCUGGCUGUCUUAAGUGCUCAGAGGAUUUCAAACCACCAGCGAGUGUUUCACUACUUGGAAUCUUUGUUUCCUUUCUUGCAAGGAUAAAAACACUUCCCCUUUUGAAUCGAGUUGAAUUUCAGAGCCUCCCAACGCAGUGUUUGCAUGAUAAAUACUUCAGGGGAAUGCGUAUUUGUUUGAUGGCUUUAAAAAGAAGCAGGACGAAUUACAAAAUAAAUCGUGCAAGCAAAUAUAUUGGUUGCAACCUCCCUCCCCCUCCUGCAAAAAACCCCAAACCUCAGUCUGGGGACAAACUUGACCUGACAAUGUCUCUUGAAGAUUGCUCCUUUUUUAUCAUUCUGCGGUGAAAGGUCUGCUGUGGCCACACCACUUGGAGCUGUGAACUUGUGAGUUGUCAUAAAUUAAGCAGCACUAUUGAAUGGGAUACCUCCCAGGACCAGCUAAGUGCUGCAGGAAGUGGUAUGAAUGAUUCAGGAGGUGGCACUCUGCCAUCUGAGUCAGUAUUGAACCAAUGCCCCACCAGGCUGCCGAAAAGUAUUGUUUUUCUGGAUUAGACAUUACCAUCAGGCCUUGACUGCUGCUGAUCGCUCGAGCUCCUUAUUUUUCAAACGAAGAGCCAGGCUAGUUUUUGUGUCACAAUGAAAUGCAAAGGACUUAAUUCUCAUCGGCACUUAAGCAGGGCCCUAAUUUUAAAUGAGAGGCCAGCUCAAACUGUGUAAUUGCAUUCUUCUUCCUUAAAUGCUAUUUUAAUUAGCUGCGAUCCACCCCACUUUCUCUCCUGUGUAUUAUUACUAUGCUCUUUUUAGGGACAGCUGAAACUCAGUCAUGCGGAAAGGUAUUUGAGUGCUUGUGUCCCAGAAAGGCUCUGUCUUCACUGGGAAAGGUGCUUUGCUUUGUUUUGUUCGUUAAGUAGGAUAACUAAUAACCUGUAGUGUGGCCUGUUGUUUAAUAUGGACCCCAGCUAUCCAUGCCUGGUAGCUAUCUCUCAGUAAAAACUACAGAGCCUUGUCUUUGUUAGGAUUUUAUAGUGGAAUAGCCAACCUGUGCGGUUUGCCCGUUGUAAAAAGCCCACAAAGACAAAACAUUUUGCAAAGACAUCACCAUCUGAGUAACUUUGCUCAGGCAAGUAAUCUUGUAGUACCUAGAAGGAUAGCUCACAUCUCCAGUUACUCAUGUGUCAGUCUAUGUAGGACCAGGGCAUUAGUUUGUUAAGCAUGUUUGCAGAGGAAGGUUGCUGUAUGCCAGCUAUUGUGGUUCUUUAAAAAGUGCAUUAGCAUUACAUUAAGGUUAUUACUGUAGCUGACCAGAAACACCAGGGAAUUUAUAGCUACAGCACAAGGUCCUUUUCUUAGCAUGCUACACAGGAGGAGGGAAAUGGGAGAAACUAACAUUAAAUAAAUAUGUGUUUAGGGUGGCAAUUUGAAAACCACUUUGCUUUGACCUAAUUCUGCUCCCAUUGAAAUCAUUGGGAGUUUUCCAUUAAUUCCAAGGGGAGCAGUAAGAACUUUUGUUCAGGCUCGCUCAUGUACUGCCAGACCCUGCAGGUCCAUCCUAGGCCGCAAACAGGAGAAGGGUUGCCAGAAAGAAGGAGUAGGGAGUGCAGGAUUGUCCCCUGGGUAAGGGCUCCAGGGUUAGCCACCCACACCAUUGCCGCUUGCUGUGUGUAUCCUUCUUUGUGUGGGGAACCCGUCCCUGGUGGAGGUUUGCAGCUGCUGCUCAGGUCUUUCAUGUCCCCACGUGUAGCAUGUCUCCGUGCUCAAGGUUGUAAUGAAAUUUGUGUCCAAGGUAUGGCAACCAGCUUGAGUUUUACAUCUUGAAACUUCAGAAGGGGCUCUGCAUUGGAGCUCUGCGGGCCAGUGCUCAUAGUCAGCAGUGGAGAGGGGGACUAAAUUACACCCGUGUUUACUUUAUGGCUCCUUUAAACCCUCCAAACAGCAGAAAGUGCAAAUGCAAAACUGGCCUACGGGAGCUAGACAAACACCCAAGUAGACUCGUCAUCCAGAAAGGGGCAGCCACGCCACUGUCUGACUGCUUGGGAAAGGUGUUGGAGUAGGAUCUGGGUCUGGUGUUUGUCCACAGGGAGCAUGUGGCCAGCAGCAGCACAAAUGUCUGCCCUGGUAUUGUGUUAAUAUGCCUCAAACCAACCUGUUGGUCCCUUCCAGAUACAGCAUGGAGGCGGUCUUUGUUGGCCAUUUGUUCAGUGUCAGGACUCUGCUGAUGAGGGACCACUGCUGCUGGUGUUCACUGGGAGACCACUGAGCUUUUGAAUACAUGCAGCCAAAAGGCCAUUAUGAUAUUAAAACUGGCCUGGGGUCAAACUGAUGACCCAAAAGAGGAAAUUUCUGUAGACCCCUAUGCACUGCCGGAGGUGUCAAGUUCCCUCCCUGAGAGAGUUAACAAAUUACCAGUCUGAUUUAUUGAUACUCGGAGGUGGGGGUUGGGAUAUUUCCUCAUUCGCAGAAACCUUAUGCUGUAUGUCUGGCGCGUCCUGGGGACUUGUUCCAUGGCAACGUAGUGCUGGAGCACCAUGGCAGGGAACCUGGUGCCUGUGUGAAUGCAAAGCUCUUGCUAACAAGGGCAUUACCGGUCAGCUUUAGAUGCAAGUAACCAUGACGCUUUCCUGGGUCUGAAGCUGUGGGGGCCCCCACUAGGCUAAGCUACAUGAUAUCUCCAGGGUAGCAGCGGAGGUCCUUCAGUGUGGCGGGACCCAUACCUUACCAUAUGCCUGAAGCCCCUGGAAGUCGAACACUAGCUGCGGCUAUCGCACAGAGAUUUGAAAGAGGACUGCCACAAGCGCCUCCAGCCCCUGCAUGCCAACCUAUGCUACGGAUCAGUGUGAGAUGUGAGCCCUCUUUUGUACCUGCAGAGUUGGAGGACCUUGUCACCAAUGCUUUCAAGAAAGAAGGUGAGAGGCAAGGAUUUCUUAGGGCGAUAUCUUUUAUUGGACCGACUGCAUAAGUGGAAUGGUUAGUUUUCAAAUGCCAAACAUCCUUCUUUAGGUUAGAAGUCAGCCAGAUGGGUGAACUCUAUAGGAAAGAUGGCAUUAGCAUGCCUGUGAAGUCGACUGUAGUAUUAGCUAUAUGCAGUAGUAAGAGCUCACCUCUCACCACUGGGGAUGCUUACUCCUUGACGGUCUAGGUGUUAUAACUGAAGUAAUGAGGCUUAAAGUGGAAAAAGAGGUUAGACACCCAGCUAGAGAAUGAUGACAGCAGAAGGCAGAAAGAGCAUAUACCGGGUGUUUGUAAAAAAGACUCUUAAUCUGCCCCAAUCCCACUGACUCUCCUCACCUUUCUGUCUGCUGGGGAAUGGGAAAAUAAAAAACAGGAGCUGAAA